CGGUGGAGCAUGUGGUUAAUCGAAGCAACGCGAAGAACCUUACCAGGUCUUGACAUCCCCUGACAACCCGAGAGAUCGGGCGUUCCCCUUCGGGGGGACAGGGUGACAGGUGGUGCAUGGUUGUCGUCAGCUCGUGUCGUGAGAUGUUGGGUUAAGUCCCGCAACGAGCGCAACCCUCGACCUUAGUUGCCAGCAUUCAGUUGGGCACUCUAAGGUGACUGCCGGCUAAAAGUCGGAGGAAGUGGGGAUGACGUCAAAUCAUCAUGCCCCUUAUGACCUGGGCUACACACGUGCUACAAUGGGCGGUACAAAGGGUCGCGAACCCGCGAGGGGGAGCCAAUCCCAAAAAGCCGCUCUCAGUUCGGAUUGCAGGCUGCAACUCGCCUGCAUGAAGCCGGAAUCGCUAGUAAUCGCGGAUCAGCAUGCCGCGGUGAAUACGUUCCCGGGCCUU
rnacentral:rRNA from 1 species